rnacentral:rRNA from 1 species
ACGCAACGCGCAGAACCUUACCAGCCCUUGACAUCCCGGUCGCGGGACCGAGAGAUGGACCCCUCAGUCGGCUGGACCGGAGACAGGUGCUGCAUGGCUGUCGUCAGCUCGUGUCGUGAGAUGUUGGGUUAAGUCCCGCAACGAGCGCAACCCUCAUCCUUAGUUGCCAUCAUUCAGUUGGGCACUCUAAGGAAACUGCCGGUGACAAGCCGGAGGAAGGCGGGGAUGACGUCAAGUCCUCAUGGCCCUUAUGGGCUGGGCUACACACGUGCUACAAUGGCGGUGACAAUGGGCUGCGAGCCUGCAAAGGUCGGCAAAUCCCAAAAAGCCGUCUCAGUUCAGAUUGUCCUCUGCAACUCGAGGGCAUGAAGUCGGAAUCGCUAGUAAUCGUGGAUCAGCAUGCCACGGUGAAUACGUUCCCGGGCCUU